rnacentral:rRNA from 1 species
CUCGGUAUCGUGAGAUGUUGGGUUAAGUCCCGCAACGAGCGCAACCCUUGUUGUCAGUUGCCAUCAUUUAGUUGGGCACUCUGGCGAGACUGCCGGUGACAAAUCGGAGGAAGGUGGGGACGACGUCAAAUCAUCAUGCCCCUUAUGACCUGGGCUACACACGUACUACAAUGGCGAUUACAAUGGGAUGCAAUGUCGCGAGGCGGAGCCAAUCCAUAAAAAUCGCCCCAGUUCAGAUUGCAGGCUGCAACUCGCCUGCAUGAAGUCGGAAUUGCUAGUAAUGGCAGGUCAGCAUACUGCCGUGAAUACGUUCCCGGGCCUU